rnacentral:lncRNA from 1 species
GGAGACUGCCAAAAUUUUGGUAGAAAGUCUCGAUUUCUUAGUAGGUGGGCCCGACAUCGGGAUGAUGUCGGAAUAAAGACGGGGUCCGCUUCGGUCUUCGGUAAAUUCCAGGGCGGGUCCUGUCAUUUUAUCUCAAAACUAUAACCAAACUAAUUAGAAUAUAACGGUUUGGUUUGUUUCAAUUUUGACGAAAGUCAUGAAGAAAAUCAAACCAAAGCAAAUCAAUUUAAGACGGUUUGUUCG